GUCCACGCCCUAAACGAUGUCAACUGGUUGUCGGGGAAGUAAUUCCUUGGUAACGAAGCUAACGCGUGAAGUUGACCGCCUGGGGGAGUACGGCCGCAAGGUUAAAACUCAAAGGAAUUGACGGGGACCCGCACAAGCGGUGGAUUAUGUGGAUUAAUUCGAUGCAACGCGAAAACCUUACCUACCCUUGACAUGUCAGGAAGCCUGCAGAGAUGCAGGGGGUCCCCGAAAGGGAACCUGAACACAGGUGCUGCAUGGCUGUCGU
rnacentral:rRNA from 1 species